UACGGAGGGGGCUAGCGUUGUUCGGAAUUACUGGGCGUAAAGCGCACGUAGGCGGCUUUGUAAGUUAGAGGUGAAAGCCCGGGGCUCAACCCCGGAACUGCCUUUAAGACCGCAUCGCUUGAAUCCAGGAGAGGUGAGUGGAAUUCCGAGUGUAGGUGAAAUUCGUAGAUAUUCGGAAGAACACCAGUGGCGAAGGCGGCUCACUGGCCUGGUAUUGACGCUGAGGUGCGAAAGCGUGGGGAGCAAACAGG
rnacentral:rRNA from 1 species